UACGUAGGGGGCAAGCGUUGUCCGGAAUCAUUGGGCGUAGAGCGCACGUAGGCGGCCCUGUAAGUCCGUUGUGAAAGUCAAAGGCUCAACCUUUGAAUGCCGAUGGAUACUGCAGGGCUAGAGUCCGGAAGAGGCGAGUGGAAUUCCUGGUGUAGCGGUGGAAUGCGCAGAUAUCAGGAGGAACACCAAUAGCGAAGGCAGCUCGCUGGGACGGUACUGACGCUAAGGUGCGAAAGCGUGGGGAGCGAACAGG
rnacentral:rRNA from 1 species